UAGGGANGAAGCGCAAGUGACGGUACCUNNNGAAGAAGGACCGGCCAANUACGUGCCAGCAGCCGCGNUAAUACGUAGGGUNCGAGCGUGUCCGGAAUUUACUGGGCGUAAAGAGCUCGUAGGUGGNUNUCGCGUUGUUCGUGAAAACUCACAGCUUAACUGUGGGCGUGCGGGCGAUACGGGCAGANUAGAGUACUGCAGGGGAGACUGGAAUUCCUGGUGUAGCGGUGGAAUGCGCAGAUAUCAGGAGGAACACCGGUGGCGAAGGCGGGUCUCUGGGCAGUAACUGACGCUGAGGAGCGAAAGCGUGGGGAGCGAACAGGAUUAGAUACCNUGGUAGUCCACGCCGUAAACGGUGGGUACUAGGUGUGGGUUUCCUUCCUUGGGAUCCGUGCCGUAGCUAACGCAUUAAGUACCCCGCCUGGGGAGUACGGCCGCAAGGCUAAAACUCAAAGGAAUUGACGGGGGCCCGCACAAGCGGCGGAGCAUGUGGAUUAAUUCGAUGCAACGCGAAGAACCUUACCUGGGUUUGACAUGCACAGGACGCCAGUAGAGAUAUUGGUUCCCUUGUGGCCUGUGUGCAGGUGGUGCAUGGCUGUCGUCAGCUCGUGUCGUGAGAUGUUGGGUUAAGUCCCGCAACGAGCGCAACCCUUGUCUCAUGUUGCCAGCACGUUAUGGUGGGGACUCGUGAGAGACUGCCGGGGUCAACUCGGAGGAAGGUGGGGAUGACGUCAAGUCAUCAUGCCCCUUAUGUCCAGGGCUUCACACAUGCUACAAUGGCCGGUACAAAGGGCUGCGAUGCCGUGAGGUGGAGCGAAUCCUUUCAAAGCCGGUCUCAGUUCGGAUCGGGGUCUGCAACUCGACCCCGUGAAGUCGGAGUCGCUAGUAAUCGCAGAUCAGCAACGCUGCGGUGAAUACGUUCCCGGGCCUUGUACACACCGCCCGUCACGUCAUGAAAGUCGGUAACACCCGAANCCGGUGGCCUAANCCUU
rnacentral:rRNA from 1 species